rnacentral:rRNA from 1 species
UACGUAGGGGGCUAGCGUUGUCCGGAUUUAUUGGGCGUAAAGAGCGUGUAGGCGGCCAGGUAGGUCUGCUGUGAAAACUCGAGGCUCAACCUCGAGACGUCGGCGGAAACCAUCUGGCUAGAGUCCGGAAGAGGAGAGUGGAAUUCCUGGUGUAGCGGUGAAAUGCGCAGAUAUCAGGAAGAACACCCGUGGCGAAGGCGGGUUGCUGGGCUGACACUGACGCUGAGGCGCGAAAGCUAGGGGAGCGAACGGG